UCAGUUUGUGCUUCCAGCCUCCCCUGCAUAUGAACAGUCAAAGUUUAAUCAACACAGUCUUGGAGCCCAUGGAAUCAUCACCUUUCUGUAUUAGAAAUAAAGAGGUCAUAAGUAAAUGGGUAGCCCACCCCUUCAGAUAUACGAAGCUGCUAUUAGAGGUCUUACCCCUGGUUAAUGGUCCCCUUCCGGUAAAAUUUCCACUUCCAAAUCCACAAGAUCGAUUUUUGUUGAAACCAGGGUCUAUCUCUGCAAAUGUCCCAGAAACUAGAACUUCUGAACUGGAGAGAUCUUAAAGUCUCCCAGCGGCCGUAGCUGGCGAACAAGCAGCAGCUACACAGUUCUCCAAGAAAGUUCAAGAUUUUGAAACAACUACCCAAACCAAUACAGCUCAAUGUGUAAGGUCAGUUCCAUAAAAGAGUGGACUCUUUUGAAGAGGAUAUAACGCCAUCUGCUAACUUUAGUGAGACUGCUAAUAAGGCGGCAUUAACAUAAAAUAACAAGAAGAAAAUAAGUCCCUUUUAAGUAUGAGGGAAUCACCAGCCCCAGUCAACCUUCUUCUGGAGGUUUGAGACCUCCCUCUAAGGUAUGCAGUUUCUUCUCUCGGUUUCGUAGCAUACCUGAAACAAGUACAUGCACACAUGGAUUCCAUUAUAAGAGUUGUGUGUGAAGUCAAUUUAGUUAACUAGCCUGAUCAAGUGGUUUAAUAUUUUAUAAGGUCUUGUUUCAUUUUAAUUUGAUCUGUAUGCAUGACUUUAAUACAAGCUGAAAUAUGACAAUUUGACAGAUAACUUUGUGUGCUAUUUUGCCACUGUACUGUAUCAGGUGUGCCCUUUGAUGCUCUACUGCAAGCUGAUUUUGAGUCUAUACUUGUAUCUUAAUUCCUUCUUCACCUUCCUUACGAACAUAUUUUCUUUUUGCAUAAGUCCACUGCUUCCAGUACAAAAAUGUCCUUUGUUCUAGUUCGUUCUCUUCCCCUGUUUCGGGCAGAAGAAAUUCAGCUUUGAAUUAUUUUAUUUGUGGAGUCUGGUUUUGUAUUUUAUUUCGCUGUAUGCUCCAUGGUGUUGGAAUGAAGGCACAUAACGGGGAUGGGUCAGAUCACAUGACAUGACAUCACAUGCUUAGUCAUAUAUUUGUUUCAUAUUACACCCAAUUAAUUGGCAGAGCACAUAUUAUCUAACACCAUCAUGAUCAGUGUUUAAAGCUAGCUAAUAUCUAGGCUGCCGCUGGUGGAACACACAGCUUCACACGACGUCCUUGGCAUAUUAGUUGAUGCCAGAAAAGUGGCUUUCCCUCCUCCAUCACCUGCCCUUGAUACAUGAAGGAGUAGGCUGGUGGAAGAGGAAAUUCAUCUUUUUCAUUGCCUCUGAGCCGCUCAAUCUUCUCUCUCACUCGCCUAACUUCAUCCGUGGCUUUUACUUGCAGACAAAUGCACUUCCCAUCCAUAGACUCCACGGUUAGCGUGAGAGGCAGAUUAGGCACCA